rnacentral:sRNA from 1 species
UGAAGUCGAAUAUGACUUGAUGUGAUGUGUAUGAUUGAGUAUAAAAACUUAAACCGCAACCGGAUCUUAAAAGCCUAAAUAGUGUUUCCAUGUUAGAAAAUACAAAGCCAAAGCCUCAUACGGACUUUAGCUACACCGUUUAAGCUUUGAGAAGCAAGAAGAAGCUUGGUUAGUGUUUUGGAGUGAAAUAUGACUAGAUGUCAUGUGUAUGAGUGAGUAUAACAGCUAGAACCACAACUGAAUUUUAAAAGCCU